UACGAAGGGUGCAAGCGUUGUUCGGAAUUACUGGGCGUAAAGCGCGCGUAGGCGGGUCUAUAAGUAGGUUGUGAAAUCCCUAGGCUUAACCUGGGAACUGCAGUCUAAACUGUAGAUCUUGAAUGUCUGAGAGGAUGGCGGAAUUCCCGGUGUAGUAGUGAAAUACGUAGAUAUCGGGAAGAACACCUGAGGCGAAGGCGGCUAUCUGGCGGUACAUUGACGCUGAUGCGCGAAAGCGUGGGGAGCAAACAGG
rnacentral:rRNA from 1 species